ensembl:lncRNA
GUGCCUUGAUACUUCUAUUUGACAUGCAAAUCGAAUGAGAUGCAUGAGUCCUAACAUUUGGUGUCACAGGAGACCUUUGGAGACACAGUUCUAUUGAUCUUCCUGGCACCGGCCACAAAAAGAGAAAGAAACAGAGAGAGAGAGAGAGAGAAAGAUGGCUGCCAGAUCUAUCUGUGUGCUGGUCAUCUCUGCAGUGGUGAUCAGUGCAACUGGAAUGCUGGCAUCUUGGAUAAUGAGGUUUCAACAAUCUGAGAUUAGAACAAAGUCUUCCAUAAAUUCAUUCACAUUUAACUCAGAUGCAACUCGAACAGAGAUGACAACAUUAGUGAGUGCAUCAGAUGGUGUGUCGAACACGCAGAAGGCACAAAUAAUCACAAAUAUUCCUGGAACUGCAUCAGUGAAUAUGAUGUCUGGAUCAUCUGUGGUAUCAAGAGCUUCAUCCGUUGCUAUUGCCGAACCCUCUCGGCAAACAACAGCUGAGACGGCAGCAGUGAGUGCAGCUGAGGAAACAAUCGUCUCGUCUGGGACCAUAGAGAAAGUUAAGAGACACACUUCGCCUGGAACAAAAAAGACCGAAAGACAAGAAACAGCAGAAACAAUAGUCACCACAUGUACACAAAUAGAAGAAAGUGCCAAUGUGGAAACAUUGAUAAAUACAGCUCAAAAAACACCUGAACCUGAGAGAAUAAGUGAAAGUGAUAUCAUGGAAACACAUAAAAGUGAAACAGAUGUUACAAUUUUUGAGAAACCAGCAGAAAUAAGCAUCACACCCAAACAAGAAUCAGGGACAACCAGAUUUGCAGCUACAGUUAAUAUCAGGAGUGCGACUCCGGUAUCAGAGCCAGGGACCGUAAGAGCAACAAAUUUCAUUGCCAGUAAACUUAAAACUUCAAAAAUCACACCUGAAAAUAAAGCAACAACCAAAACUAGACCAGACAUUACAUUUAGGACAGAAGCGGUUAGGACUGAAACAAAAGCAGAUUUAACUGAAGGAAAACUAGCACCAACCACCAUCAUAAAAAGACCCAAAACAGCAGGAACAGGGCCAUCUAAAGUUGAAACAAGUGAAAAAAACACAGUUAGACCACGAAAAUCUCCUCAAGCUAUAGAAACUUCAAAUGGUCCAACAAUAAAUGAGGCUACUGGUAAAAAUCUUAUAACUAUGAUUCAAACUGCCACUGGAAAACAAGCAAAAACAGUGGGCACAGCUGGUACACGCAUAACAUUAAAAUCAAAUGUAUUAACGACAAUUAAAUCCAUUGUAAAUCAUUUAAACACCAUUUCACCAGAGAGACAGACUGCUAAAGUGUUUGAGAAGUUGACAACUCGGUCACACAAGUCUGUAUCGCCAUGUACAGGUAAAUGUCAAACCAAAUCUACUACUACGAAUACUACAGGCAGUCGAGGCAUGUCGGAUAAAACUUUUUAUUCUGCCAUCACUAUGGGUUGCAUCUUGGUUGUAUGUGGCCUUCUAGCUCUUGUUGUGUUUAUAAAGGAUUUUAUUGUGUCUGACUAA